GAUGAACGCUGGCGGCGCGCCUAACACAUGCAAGUCGAACGGCACCUAUCUUCGGAUAGAAGCGAGUGGCGAACGGCUGAGUAACACGUGGAGAACCUGCCCCCUCCCCCGGGAUAGCCGCCCGAAAGGACGGGUAAUACCGGAUACCCCGGGGUGCCGCAUGGCACCCCGGCUAAAGCCCCGACGGGAGGGGAUGGCUCCGCGGCCCAUCAGGUAGACGGCGGGGUGACGGCCCACCGUGCCGACAACGGGUAGCCGGGUUGAGAGACCGACCGGCCAGAUUGGGACUGAGACACGGCCCAGACUCCUACGGGAGGCAGCAGUGGGGAAUCUUGCGCAAUGGGGGGAACCCUGACGCAGCGACGCCGCGUGCGGGACGGAGGCCUUCGGGUCGUAAACCGCUUUCAGCAGGGAAGAGUCAAGACUGUACCUGCAGAAGAAGCCCCG
rnacentral:rRNA from 1 species